GGAGUUUAUCGUGUACGCAAGUCAUUGAGUGAAUAAAACUCAAUGGCGAAAUAAAAGUAAAGAGUUGAGUUUAUGUUAAAAAAAUUUUUUAAAUUUUUUUUUUCAUGUCUCUCUUAAGGGAAGAUAAAAAUUUAUUUUAAUAAUUUAUAUAUUGUUAAUAUAAAUUUUUAGCACUCCCAGGGCGCUUGCUUCACGCUUUGCGUGUCAAUGCGCACCUAGAGCGUACACGCUGAUACCCGAAAGAUGGUGAACUAUGCCUGGCCAGGACGAAGCCAGGGGAAACCCUGGUGGAGGUCCGCAGCGAUUCUGACGUGCAAAUCGAUCGUCGGAGCUGGGUAUAGGGGCGAAAGACCAAUCGAACCAUCUAGUAGCUGGUUCCCUCUGAAGUUUCCCUCAGGAUAGCUUGCGCUCGGUUGAGAAGAGUCUCAUCCGGUAGAGCGAAUGAUUAGAGGCAUUGGGGUCGAAACGACCUCAACCUAUUCUCAAACUCCAAAUAGAUGAGACCCCCGGCUUUCUUAAAAUUGAAGCCGUGGGAAUAGGAUCAGA
rnacentral:rRNA from 1 species